CUCAGCUGCAGCGUAUGUUGGGACGCACCUGAUGGCAGCUCCAGUACACCCACGAGCAGCAGGGGGCGCUGUCUGUGCACCAACGUGAUCAGGCUCACACAGAGGUGGAGGAUUACCUGAGCGUCUCUUCGGGCUGCAGUUUGCGCCUUGAGUCCGAUGUCAAAGUUCUACACGACCAGGCCAGUGCGGCGUCCAUCUGAGGUCGGGUCAGACCGACUCCAGCAGGUGGCAGCAGAGAGCUGAGACACAAGGAAGCCCAACAGUCCUCCUGGAGGGACACUUGGAGCUCUGACAGGCUGACAUACUGAUGCUGCACCGAGUCACCGUCAUACUGGAGAGAUAACGCAGAUUGGACCUCGCAUUCCUCGGGCUGCGACAUUUGUGAUGAGGGAGACGGCGGCAAGAGGGGCAUGGUUGACGGCGCAUCCUCGCCUGGGGCGCACCGCUGCUCGUGCGUCUUGUGCAUUUCGGAGUGCUCGGUCGCACACAGGAUGUUCUUCCCUCCCCACGGUCGUAAGACACAGACACGCAACGCUGUCACGCAUACACACUCGCCGACCGACACGCACUGUGCCCACCACAGCCUGCUGCUAUUCUAAACACAAACAAACACCACAAACAAAAGUUCAAUACACAAUGACAACUUUUCAUGUGUGUUUUUGUGGUUACCUUGACCAGGACAGGUAGUGUGUGUGUUUCGUCUGACAGCAUGAAGAAGAAGAAAGACGUUCCUGAGAUGACCAGCAGGGGGCAGACGGAAGCCACUUUACCGAAGAUGGACAGACGCAAUCCUUGCAACCUGACAGACAGACAAGAGCGACAGCACCGGCGACCAAUCCCUGCGCAGGACCGGGACACAGCAGCACAGGAGAGCCAAUCAGCUCCACGUAGCCUCGGGCUUCCGGCUGCGCUUGCAAGGGGGCAUCGUGGGGGAUGUAGUGCCAGUGGGGGAGGAAGACCAGACGACCCAUCCACAAAGGCGCCCGAUCAGCAGGAGGUGCGCCCGGGGAAGAGCCCGCCGACCCGGGAGCGCCACCGCCGCUUCCUCGGCUAACGCACGCUCCUGACUGGUGCUCCAAGACAGGUUACUGACGCACGCCAGCCGCUGGUGAGAGAGAAGCUCAGAGACGCACACCAGCCUGGUGAGCCGACGCAAAACGUCAGCAACGUGUCUGAAUGGGGCGGGACGGGACAGCAUGCCUUACCUGUAGCUGAUGGGCAGCGUGUGUGUGCUGGACAUCUUCCCUCGUAUCCUCUUCAACACAGUUGCACUCAGGUGAGACACACCCUCAUCAGCUGCAAAUUAGAGAAUUUGGUCAAACUUGGGGAGAACAUGGAAACUCCACAUAGGGUACCCGGAAUCCAAACUCGAUUACAGUGUGUGUGUCUGUGUGUGUGCACAUAUUACAGUAUCGCUACACACACAUACUAACAUCGUAGCAAAACUUUCAGCUGUAUCAUCCAGCCUUAUUUUCUAACUUCACGGUGUCAUGCUUAACAGUUGAACCUGGAUUACUUUGCACUUCAAUUUAUAUUGAACAUAGACUAAAACUCAUGGAGUUUAAUUUGGUUUUGCAUGACACAAAUGAAUACUAAAUAACUG